rnacentral:rRNA from 1 species
AUUGAACGCUGGCGGCAUGCCUUACACAUGCAAGUCGAACGGCAGCGCGGACUUCGGUCUGGCGGCGAGUGGCGAACGGGUGAGUAAUACAUCGGAACGUACCCUGUUGUGGGGGAUAACUAGUCGAAAGAUUAGCUAAUACCGCAUACGACCUGAGGGUGAAAGUGGGGGACCGGAAACGGCCUCAUGCAGCAGGAGCGGCCGAUGUCUGAUUAGCUAGUUGGUGGGGUAAAGGCCCACCAAGGCGACGAUCAGUAGCUGGUCUGAGAGGACGAUCAGCCACACUGGGACUGAGACACGGCCCAGACUCCUACGGGAGGCAGCAGUGGGGAAUUUUGGACAAUGGGGGCAACCCUGGUCCAGCAAUGCCGCGUGUGUGAAGAAGGCCUUCGGGUUGUAAAGCACUUUUGUCCGGAAAGAAAUCGCGCUGGUUAAUACCUGGCGUGGAUGACGGUACCGGAAGAAUAAGCACCGGCUAACUACGUG